rnacentral:lncRNA from 10 species
UUUAGCCAUUCUGUUGACUAUGUAGUAAAAUUUCCCUGUGGUUUUAAUUUGAAUGUAUUUGAUGACUAUGAUGAUAUCCAAUUAUUUCAGCAUCACUUGCUAAAAAUACUUUCCUUUCGUCUUUGGAUUCCACUGGCAACUUUAUUGAAAAAUCAGAUAACUAUGUAAGUGUGUGUCUUUUUCUGGUCUCUCUGUUUCAUUGAUAAAUUUGUCAAUACUUCUGUCUGUAUCUCACUCCCUUGAUUAUUAUAACGUAAAGUAUUACAAUCAGGCAGUGUAAAUGUUAAUGUUUGUUCUUUUUCAAGGUAUUGUUUUGAAUAUCGAUGUUCUCUGCCUUUCUAUGUAAGUUUUAGAAUUUCCACGUCUGCUUCUAC